AGGGAAGAGGUGAACGCUGGUAAGAAGAGUUUAAGGCAAGAAAGGAAGCGCUUUCCUAGGCUACCCAGCCAAAGGACUGCUAUGCUUGGCACAAAUGGGAAGAUGCUGACCAACCAUACCCUCAUUUACUGUGAGGUUUGCUUCGAAUGGUACAAACAUUUCUUCAGAUUUAGAAGCUGGUUGCUCAGUUGGUGAACAGGUAGGGAUAGACCCACCCACACACACAAACCCCAUCACCACCCUAUAUACAGUAUCUCUUGCAGCUACAACUUUGGACCCAAUAAAAGGCUUCUCUCUAGUGGCCUUUUCUUGCCCACUUCUAGAAGCAGAUACAGUGCUGUAGCAGCAAUGAUAAAAGCAGCCAAGUGGCAACAGACACAACAGCCGAGCAUCCUGAACAUCAAGCCAUAGAAGUGACUGCACGAGCUGAGAGAUACAGAGCAAGGGGAAGAAGUGCUGAUAUCAUCAAAGGACUGACACAGAAGUAAUCCUGUAUUGGUGGCCAGGACCUGGCCCCCCAGUUCCAGCAGACUCCAGCAGCUCAGGUGCAGGUCACAGCAGUCAGAAGAACAGAGACCCUCCUGCUGCAUCAGAGGCCAAGCAAGCAGCCAGAAGGCAAGAUUCCAGUGUGGUCAGAGGUCAAACAGGCUUCUAGAAAUCCAGGGAACAAAGGUGAGAAAACCAAAGACGAAACAGAGAUGUAGGGAAACAACACCCAUCCAACAAAGGCAACUCAAUAGUCAGCACCUAGACCUACAAUCAUCCUAAAUCCGGAUACCUAAACUCCAGUGUAAGGACAACAGGUCAACAACAGCCAGGGCAACAUGGCACCACCAGAACUAGGUCAGCAAGACCUGAAUAUUCCAAUGCAGCUGGAACACAAAAAAAGACCUUAAAACCAACUUUACGAUGAUGAUAAAGUUCCUCAAACAGGAAAUGCAAAAAAAUCCCUCAAAGAAAUUAAUGAAAAAAAUUGUAGGAAAUCAAUUCAUCCUUCAAAGAAUGCCAAGCCUCCCCGUUCCAAAUUAAACAAGCAGGCAAAGGAAACUGUUCAAGACCAGAAAAUGGAGAUAGAAGCAAUAAAGAAAACACAAACUGAUGAAAUUUUGAAAAUGGGAAAUCGAGGUAAGAUAACAGGAAUUACUCAUUAACAGAGUACAAGAAUUGGAAGGGAGAAUCUCAGGAGUUGAGUUGAAGAUAUGAUAGAAGAAAUAGAUUCAUCAGUCAAAGAAAAUGUUAAAUCUAAAAAACACCUAACACAAAACAUCCAGGAACUCCGUGAUACUAUGAAAAGACCAAACGUCAGAAUAAUAGGAAUGGAAGAAGGAUUCCAGCUCAGGAACCCAAAAAAAUAUUUAAACAAAUUCGUAGAAGAAAACUGUCCUCACCUAAAGAAGGUGUCUUAGUUAGGGUCUUAUUGCUGUGAACAGACCAAUGUAAAUUUUAUAAAGGACAUUUAAUUGGGGCU
rnacentral:sRNA from 1 species